rnacentral:lncRNA from 1 species
GACCCCUAACCUCACCCUUAAAUUAUCCACAAGGUUAUCCAACAAAAUUAUCGUCUGAGGCAAGAAAUCACGAAGCAAUAACACUAGAACGAUCCCCACGACGUAAGUAUCGCUAUAUAGCCUCUCUUUUUCUUUGUAGUUUGAGUUUUGGAAGUUAUUUUGAAGUUAAUAAAAAUGACUAAUUUCUGGUUUCAAGCUCUUAAACAUCAAGGUAGAUUCAUCAAUUUAUUUCAUAAUAGUUAGAACUCAUGGGACGGUGAUCGGAAGCUCUGAGUUCGAGUUAUUUGAUUUGUAAAGGACUGUUUUGUGGGCUGUUUCGUGUAGCUUUUGGCUGUAUAUUUUGCUGAUAUUUAAUGGAGUUUUUGGAAGAUAAAUUGUGUGGAGAAACAUCACCUAAUGACAAAAUGAUAGAUUAGUCAUUCUUUGUAAUAGUUUCGGGGCGUUGGACACUACUAUAAUUGUCAUUUUUGGUAUGAAUUGAUUGGGGUGUGUUGGACUGUUGUAAUCUAAAUAUAACAUGGAUUUCAGCUUUCAUACACUAUCGCAGGUAAUUAUAUUGUGUUCCUUCAGGCGCUUAAGGUUAUCUUGGCGUUUGUUAAGUUAAAUGGAUGAACUAGACAUGAACUAGUGUAUAAAGUUGCUAAUUAAGAAAAAUUGGAGUUGUGCAUCAUUUUCUUUGUUAUGGAUAUAUGUUAUAAGGCUGGAAUUAUUGAUUAAUGACUUUAUUGUCAUGUUAAUGAUACUAUUAAGUUAAAGUAAAAAGUCUAUAAGGGAUGAUAUGGGGCAUACAAAUUCCAAUUGGAGUUUGUCGCUCGUCGUAAAAUAGUUAUGACUUGUUGUUGUUUUUUGAUGUCUUGUUAUUGAUAAUUAUAUAUUGCUGGAUUUCUAUGGUAAUUGUUGUUGGUAUAUGGUAUUGGAGGAGGCUCUUGUUUUAGGGGAGAUGCUGCCCGAAUUUAUAUAAACGAACUACAAGUUUAAGUUGCAGACUUAGCCUUUAUUCAACACUGAUUUUAAAUCUCCUUAUGCAAUGGUAGAUUGAGUUGAGUUGUUUGAAGAGUAGCUUUGGAGGUAUUAUUAAGGACUCACCAUGGUUAAGGUAUGUUAAGGCACUUCCCUCUUUCUUUUGGCAUGAUCUAAAGUGAAAUGAAUACUCUAUUUCAUAACGGAUCUACUCCUAGAAACUAAGGUUGCCCAUGUUGUUCUUUCCUUAUAAAGUUAUUCUAAGCAAGUAUGUAUGAUCCUUGAAUCCUAUAGAAGCUCAUAUUGAUGGUAUGAUGUCCAUAAUGUUAAUCGAAGGUGCAACGACCUUAAGUCACUCCAAAAGGUUUAGAACGUGACUCCAUGAGUCUAGUAUGAACUAUAUAUAGUAUCUAUUUUACUCUACCGAGUCGCGCUAUAGUAGGCCGGGUACUGCACCUAUUGUGCAACCACUGAUCAGUUGAUUUACCGAGCUUCACGUGGCUGGGUACGAUUCUACCGAGCCUUAUGAUGGUCGAGUACAUUUUUAUCGAGUCCUCUUUGAGGCCGGGUACAAUAUGAUGAUGAUGAUGCCUACAGAGGCGUAUGUUUUUAAAUGUUUAUGUAUAUAUGUGUAUUAUGCAUAUCAUGUCAGUAGCCCCCAGAGGCAUGCAGAUGUUUUAGGUUGUAUCUCCUCUAUCUCUCUUUAUAUUAUUGUUCUUGUUUAUGCUUUCCUGCCUUACAUACUCGAUACUUUAUUUGUACUGACGCCCCUUUUGCCUAGGGACGCUGCAUUUUAUGCCCGCAUGUCCCAAUUGAUAGGUUGACAUUCCUCCUAGUAGGCUAUCAGCUCAGCGGAGGUGUUGGUGCACUCCACUUGCUCCGGAGUUGCCUAUUUGGUCAGUAUGCUUUGGAUAUGUAUUGAUUGAUAUGGCGGGGCCCUGUCCCGACCUUUAUGAUUUUAUGUACUCUUAGAGGCUUGUAGAUAGAUGUAAGGUUUAUGGAUACUUGUAUGGCCUUAUUGGCCUAUGUGUUGAGUUUACAAAUGGUUAUGUCGUCCUUAUAGGCCCGUAUGUCACGUGUAUGAGUUUCUACAUCAUAUUGGGUUGUCUUAUGUAUAAUAUUCUUUUAUAUUUUAUUCUGGUUAUCUCAUGACGACCCUUUUGACCCAUUUACCCAUGAUAGUAUUAUAAGAAAUGAAAAACUAUGUUGGUACUCGGUUGAGUAAGGUACCGGGUGCCCAUCACGGCCCUCCUAUUUGGGUUGUGAUAAAAGUGGUAUCACAGCAGUUCUAUCCUAGGGAAUCUACAAGCCGUGUCUAGUAGAGUCUUGUUUAUGGGUGUGUUGUGUACCACACUUAUAAGCAUGAGGCUACCGGGUAUUUAGGACUGUCACUCUUUCUUCUUGCUCUAGAUUGUGUUGUAGAGCUCAAUUGUAAGAAUUCAAACUUCUAUUAUAUUCGUAAUACAACGAUACCUCAUCCAAAUAAACAGUUGGUAUGAGAUUGACUAUGGUUCUUGAAGAGUUGAGUCAGAGGAACUCGAUUUUUUAUCAUGCUUAUGAUGAGCAAAUGUGGGGUCUUCAGCAGAUCAUGUGUAUUCUAAGAUGUGUAAGCUUCUUGAUAAGGAGCCCUAAGGCAAGAAUAUCUAUCCACUCGUAUGGUAAAAAGGAAUAAGUGAAUCAGAAAGUAGACACAAGUUUCAGAAAGUAAAACAAGCAAGAUGACGAAAGGUACGAGGUACCUAGUUAAUGAAGAUUAUCAGUAUUUACAAUUCAGGCAGAGAAAUGUAAGUAUUGGUGUUACCUUCAAUGUUAAUGGUGAUAUAUACAAUUGACCACACCCAUCUCAGUUGUGCCCUAUGGGAGCUAACAAAUAUAGUUUAAAAGAAGAAGGUGAUAUCAAGAUUCAAUUCGGGUUAGAGUAACCAAAAAUUAUGAAUGGAUUGUUAUCAUUAACUAAUGUAUCCGAAGGAUAGUGCAAAUGUGGUAAUAGAUCUCCUUGUGAGACACCUAGAUGGUGAACUUUAGAAUAAUACAAUCAGAUAUGAAUACUGGAAUAUUCAGAAAUUUCAGAAGAUAGGAAGUGGGAUCCUAAAAGCGACAAAUAUUUACCUUAGUAUGAAUCCAGCCACGAGUAAAAAAAAGGAGAAUGUUAGGCAUUCCGAAGAGCCAGUGAGAUGAAUCAAGGGGAGCUAAAAGGGAAAGAACAUUUUGUCAGAGUUUUCAGAAUAAAGUGAUAGAUAAAGAUAUUAUCCGGAGAAUAAGAAGAGAGUAAAUGAAGCAUCCUGAGUAAGAUGUAAUAUAUGGGUGAUAACAUUAAAUCAAAAUAUGACACGAUGAUAGAGUCUAUAGUCAAGCAAAGGAAAAAUACAAGAGGUGACAGGCCUUCAGGCAAUAAAAGAGUAUCAGCCAUAAAGUCAUAUCCUUAUUUCGAGAAAUGAGUUAGUGACUUCAACGUGAUUACCAGGAGGAAAGGUUAGACCCCAGAGUAAUAAAAAUCAGUAUGGGGUGGUGAACAAUAUAGAACAUGAAUUAGGGACUGAAGGAUUUUAUAAUUGUUGAUAUCAUGAGAAUUUCAGAGAUAUCAUUCCGAAAAUAAUAGAAUGGACAAAAAAAAUAAUAACCUUUAAGGUUCAUUCAGGAAGAUGCUUCCCUAAAGCAAGCACGUGGAGCAGAGUUAAGCUUAAGGGAGUAAGUGUGCUAGUUACACUAAGUGUCACCCUUGUGCGUAAUAAAUUCAAUUAUCCCUGGUAUAGAGAGGUUACCGCAAGGCGAGUAAGAUGUUAGUGAAGAUGUGAACAAAUGGCAAAAUGAAGAGGUAACUAUGGAAUAGUAAAGGAGGAAUGCGGUAAAAGGGUGAAAGGAAUGAGAUAGCAUCUAUUCAGAUCCUAUAGAUAUGAUAUGACUCCAGAACAUUAUGCAAGCAUGAUGCCGGAGAGAAGUGGUAAGGGUUGCGCACCCGAUGAUAUUGAUAAAUAAGUGCAAAUGAACACUUGAUGCAUAAAGAGCCAAUACGAGAGGUAACUUAAGGCAAAGUAAAUAACUAAAGAGAGAUUAUGCGGAAUAUAGAUAUGGGAAUGGACCAACGAGUAGUUUGUAGUUGAUUCAAGAAGAGCCAAGUUAUGGCUAUACAAGAGGUUAUAAGCAAAUCAGCAGAUCAUGCAAGAUAAAUGUAGUGAAUUCUAAUCUAGUAAAUUCAGUCUCGCAGAUAUAAUGUUGUAACCUUGAGAAAUAUUCAGAUAGGAGUUGGGUUACUAAAGGUAUCGUAUAAGUGUUACAGAAAUAAUGGAGAGUGCCACUAAGGAGACAAUCAAAAUCUAAGUCUAGAAGUAACCCUACGAGCACAAGGGCACGAAGGUAUGUAACUAAGGAUGUUUGUAGGCGAGCAAGAACAUCGAAAAUUCCUUCGGGUAUACAGUAUAACAAGAUCGUAACUUUACAAGAUCCAAAAGGUCUCCUUAAUUACUACAAAGAAAGAUUAGCUGAGGAAAUAAGGAAGAAAGCUUCAACUUAAGCAUAACGAUAUAAAGAAGAAAUGGUCUUGUAACAACAGUUUCACUACAAUAUGGUAUACACUCCAUAAGAAAGUGGAACCUAUCGUGACUAAUGAACAGGAAGUCAAAAGUGAUAUUUGUGAUCAUAUGAGUUAUAGGAAAUUCAAGUAUUGGUGGGCAAUAAGAUAAGCCAAGAAUUCAUGCAACAAGUGGCAAAACGACCAGGAAAAGUGAUUGCUUACUUUUAAAGAACGUUGAGAAUGCACAAAAGGAAUUAUUCAAUCAAUGAUCCAAAGUUAAUUACGCUAUGAAUGCACUUAAGACUUUAGAGUUAUAUCUAUGCAGCAUAUAUGUUGACAUUCAUACAGCUACAGGAGACUUUGGUAUAAGUUAAAAGAAAGAAUUAAGUCCACGUGACCUAUAAAGGCUUGAAUUGUUAGAAGAUUAUAUCAUGGAUGCUACAUAUAGUCCAUGAAAGGCUAAUGUAAUAGCUAAUACCCUAAGCUGAAGAUUGGAAGAUAGCAUAAGCUUAUUUAAAGGCUGAGAAGGAAGAGGAAGCUCGAAAGUUACAUCAUGAGUCUGAUUGUUAGACACAGAUGAUUAUAGAAAUCAUGACUCAAACCAUAUCAGGAGCACUUUUAAUAGUAGAGGUAUAAGAGAUAUAGUACAACAAUCGUAUUCUAGAAAAUCUCUACGAUAAAGCAAUUAGAAGAGUACCAGCCUCAUAAGACAUUAAUAUGAAGCUCUCACCAGAUUGUGUAUGCACCAGGGUUACAAGUAUUAUAGUAGAGCUUUAAGGUAUGGAUGUGAAUUCCACCAAUGUAGAAGGGAGGUUAUGAAAUCGAUAGAAGAUACGGUGCGAAAUUUAAAGGUAAGUAUGGUAAAUGUGAGUGAGAAGGUGACAAUAAUAGUCAAGGUCUCAUGAUUAAACUCGUCAAAACAAGAGAGCUAAUGCUUUCCAUGAGCAAUAGAAAGCUCGGUACACUCUAAAUGAACUCAGAGGAGUCUAAGAACAGGAGCAAUUAGAGGAGAUGGAAUACUGCCCUGGUAGUAGAAUAAGGGUGUAAUUGUGAUAGUUAAGAGAAUGACGUUUGGGCCUUCGAUUGAGUAAUGAUUUAACGAAAAGGGAUUUCAUAGAUGGUACAGUAUUAGAAUGUCCUCGUAAGAUGAAUACGUUGGGAUGUUAUGAGAAUGCAGUUAUUGAAGUAUAGUAUCAUCCCUAUGUGUGUCAAAAAAAUCACUUCAAACAUUCCCCGAUGAGACGUGAGCCUUAGUGACAAUGUAUUACAUUCGAGGCGAUGGUUGGAGUUAGUGAAAGACUAUGAUGUUUAUAUUUUAUAUCAUCCAGGGAAGGCGAAUGUAGUAGUCAACACCCUCAACGUAGAUCUAUGUGUAGCCUAUCAUAUUUACAGGCAUAGAAGAGUGAGAUAGCUUGUGAGAUUCAUCUGCUAGCUAAUCUUGGAAUUCAAUUACUAGAUGCAGGUGGUACCAGAGUUACUGCUUAGGACAUGGAAACCUCCUCUUUAGUAAUUAAAGUGAAGGAAUGCCAGUAUGAAGAUCAUGUGCUAGAUCAUUAUAGAGAUACAACCCCUCAAAAGGAGAAGACACUAUUUAAGAUUACAGGAGAUGGAGUCCUCAGAUAUCGAGGCCGAUUAUAUGUUCCUAAUGUGGCAGGGUGAGAUGGAGUCCUCAAAUAUUAAGGUCGAUUGUAUGUUCGUAAUGUGGCAGGGUUGCGCCGGCAAGUUAUGGGACAAGCAAUGAGAAAGUAACCUAGAGUUGUGUAACACACCUCGGUAAUAAUACCAAGGCUAUAAAACGAGAUAUAGCAAUAGUCGUACAUUCAGCAAAGUACCAACCGAAGAGCUUAAGUAUACCUAUAUAUGCUCAGAGGGACAUGAUGUCAUAGUUCUAUAUAUGUAUUUAGAAAGUGAAGCCAAGAGAUUGGCAAAAAGCUGGAGGAAAAAAAGAGAGAAGAGUCGUGCAUAAAAGGACAUAUUCAUGUAGGAUACAUCAUAGAAGGUAGUCGAAGUUACGAGAUUGGAAGAACUCCAGCCAUAGUUCGCAAGGUGAGAAUAGGCCAAAAGGGAGGAAUGCCCUGGUUUUUAAAUUUAUUCACAGAACAAUAACCUAGAUGACAAAGGACAAUAUUAAAGUAUUCAUAAGAGCCAUAUGGUAUGAGAAUGAGAAGUGCACCAGUCAACAUUCGAGGACGAAUGUUCCAAAGGGGGAAAUAAUGUUACAACCCAUGUUUUUGUACCUGAAAGUACGUCGUGAGUCAAUUGAUGUAAGCUCAAAAAGGAUGAAAUCCUUCUACAAGGACAAGAAAGGUUUGCCAAAAUGUUAAGCAAGUUAAGAUGAAUAUGAGACUUUUUAAUCAUGAUUUAAAUGAGUUUAAAGCCAUGAUAUGACUAUAUAUGAUGUUUGUAUAUGAAGUAUAAAGUUUGAGAAAAAUCGCAUUUAAGUUACGGAAAAACCGACUAAGGAUUUGCCUUGUAAUGAAGCUUUUUGAGUAAUAAAUUUUCUGUGCUAUAUGAGGUCUUUUUGGGACAUAUUAUAUCAAAUUGAAGGUCUUGGAAUUUAGUUUCUAACGCUCUUAACUAUUCAUUCAUACGAUAUCCGGAUAAAAAGAUAUAAGUACUUGAAAAAGGGCUAAUGAGAUGGUGCCAAGUAGCACCUUUUGACUUUUCAACCAAAAUGGAUAUUUAUCUUGCUAUGUCGUCUCUUUCUUCAUAAUUCCAGAGAGCUCGACCAAAUAAGACCCCUAACCUCACCCUUAAUCUGUGCACAAGGUUAUCCAACAAGAUUAUCGUCCGAGGCACGAAAUCAUGAAGCAAUAACACUAGAACGAUCCCCACGACGUAAGUAUCGCUAUAUAGCUUCUCUUUUUCUUUGUAGUUUGAGUUUUGGAAGGUAUUUUAAAGUUAAUAAAAAUGCCUUAUUUCUGGUUUCAAGCUCUUAAACAUCAAGUAAGAUUCAUUAAUUUAUUUCAUAAUAGAUAGAACUCAUGGGACGGUGAUCGGAAGCCGUGAGUUCGAGUUAUUUGAUUUGUAAUGGACUGUUUUGUGGGCUGUUUCGUGUAGCUUUUGGGCUGUAUAUUUUUCUGCUAUUUAAUGGAGUUUUUGGAAGAUAAAUUGUGUGGAGAAACACCACCUAAUGGCGAAAUAAUGGAUUAGUCAUUCUUUGUAAUAUUUUUGGGGCGUUGGACACUACUAUAGUCGUCGUUUUUUGUAUGAAUUGAUUGAGGUAUCUUGGGCUGUUGUAAUCUAAAUAUAACAUGGAUUUCGACUUGCAUUCACUGUAGCAGGUAAUUAUAUUGUGUUCCUACAGGCGCUUAAGGUUAUCUUGGCAUUUAUUAAGUUAAAUGGAUGAACUAGACAUGAACUAGUGUAUAAAGUUGCUAAUUAAGAAUAUUUGGAGUUGUGGAUCAUUUUCUUUUUUAUGGAUAUAUGGUAUAAGGCUGAAUAUUGAUGAAUGACUUCAUAUUCAUGUUAAUNAUACUNNNNNNNNNNNNNNNNNNNNNNNNNGGAGGCUCUUGUUUUAGGGGAGAUGCUGGCCGAAUUUAUAUAAACGAACUACAAGUUUAAGUUGCAGACUUAUCCUUUAUUCAACACUGAUUUUGAAUCUCCUUAUGCAACGGUAGAUUGAGUUGAGUUGUUUGAAGAGUAGCUUGGGAGGUAUUAAGGACUCACCAUGGUUAAGGUAUGUUAAGGCACUUCCCUCUUUCUUUUGGCAUGAUCUAAAGUGAAAUGAAUACUCUAUUUCAUAACGGAUCUACUCCUAGAAACUAAGGUUGCCCAUGUUGUUCUUUCCUUAUAAGUUAUUCUAAGCAAGUAUGUAUGAUCCUUGAAUCCUGUAGAAGCUCAUAUUGAUGGUAUGAUACCUUCGCGCUGACCGUUCGCUUUCUCAGUAGCAAAAGCGCUUCUCUUUGCCCCUUAACCUUAAGUAGAAGGACAAGAAAGAGAUUAUUGAUUUUCUUGCUCCCGCUUCCUCAUAUGCGCUCAUCAAGCCAACUUUGCUCUUUGGGAGGUGAAACAGCGGUUAAAGCGGACAUUUCAAAAUGACAGCAUCGAAGAUAUAUUUCUAUAUAUACACGGUUAUAGCUAUCUCGGACUGCGAUGUCCAUAAUGUUAAUCGAAAGUGCAACGACCUUAAGUCACUCCAAAAGGUUUAGAACGUGACUCCAUGAGUCUAGUAUGCACUAUAUAUAGUAUCUAUUUUACUCUACAGAGUCGCGCUAUAGUAGGCCGGAUACUGCACCUAUUGUGCAGCCAUUGAUCAGUUGGAUUUAUCGAGCUCCAUGUGGCCGGGUACGAUUCUACCGAGCCUUAUGUUGUCCGGGUACAUUUUUACCGAGUCCUCUUUGAUGCUGGGUACGAUAUGAUGAUGAUAAUGCCUAUGGAGGCGGAUGUUUUUAAAAGUUUAUGUAUAUAUAUGUAUUAUUCAUCUUAAGUCAGCAGCCCCCAGAGGCACACAGAUGUUACAGAUUGUAUCUCCUCUAUCUCUAUUUAUAUUACUGUUCUUGUUUAUGUUUUCCUGCCUUACAUACUCGGUACUUUAUUUGUACUGACAUCCCUUUUGCCUAGGGACGCUGCCUUUUAUGCCUUCAAGUCCCAAUUGAUAGGUUGACAUUCCUCCUAGUAGGCUAUAAGCUCAGUGGAGGUGUUGGUGCACUCCACUUGUUCCGGAGUUGCCUAUUUGGUCAGUAUGCUUUGGAUAUGUAUUGAUUGAUAUGACGGGGCCCUGUCCCGACCUUUAUGAUUUUAUGUACUCUUAAAGGCUUAUUGACAGAUGUCAGGUUUAUGGAUACUUGUAUGGCCUUGUUGGCCUAAGUGUUGAGUUUACAAAUGGUCAUGUCGUCCUUAUAGGUCUGUAUGUCACAUGUAUGAGUUUCUACAUCAUAUUGGGUUGUCCUAUGUCUAGUAUUCCUUUAUGUUUAUUCUGGUUAUCUCAUGACGACCCUUUUGGCCCAUUUAUCCAUGAUAGUAUUAUAAGAAAUUAAAAGUUACGUUGGUACUCGGUUGAGUAAGGUACCGGGUGCCCGUCAUGGCCCUCCUAUUUUGGUCGUGAC